rnacentral:rRNA from 1 species
GUCCACGCAGUAAACGAUGAUUACUAGCUGUUUGCGAUACACAGUAAGCGGCACAGCGAAAGCGUUAAGUAAUCCACCUGGGGAGUACGCCGGCAACGGUGAAACUCAAAGGAAUUGACGGGGCCCGCACAAGCGGAGGAACAUGUGGUUUAAUUCGAUGAUACGCGAGGAACCUUACCCGGGUUUGAACGUAGGGAGACAGGGGUGGAAACAUCCUAUUCAGCGAUGACUGCCUACGAGGUGCUGCAUGGUUGUCGU